rnacentral:misc_RNA from 1 species
GUCAACCUGGCCAUCCCUGAAAAGAGCAGCUACCUUUGCUUCAUAAAUCGCCACUGACGGUUUGAAGCCUCUCUCAUGCAUUUCCUUGAGCACUUUGUCACCUUCAUCAAUCUUGCCUUCGGCGUAAAAGUCAACAGCCAUCGCUCUGUAGCUAUCUGAACUGGGAACUAUGCCUUUUAUCAAACCUUCAUUAAUCAAAACUUUCAUAUUUUCUGUAUCUGAUCCAUUCCGGCAUUGAGUAAGAUCAAUCUGCUUGUAGUAACUUCUCGGAGCUUUUAGUCCUUUUCGCAAUACCUUACCAAGAAUUUGUAAAGCCUCCUCCCCUUCUUCAUUUUCACACAACGCUUCCAAUAAAGCUCGAUAGACAACCACAUCUUCACCACUUCCCUUCUGAGAUAUCCUCCAAAACAUUGAGUACAAUAGAUGAGUAGCCUCAUUGAGCCGUUUUUCUUCACAUAAACCCCUCAUCAAGAUCCUGUAACUCUCUUUGUUUGGAUAGCAGUUCUGGUAACUCAUCUCUUGGAAAAUAUGCAAUGCAAGAUCAGAGCGUUUCAUUCUACAAAGAGCAUUCAUCAACAAAUUCAAG